rnacentral:rRNA from 1 species
GAUGAACGCUGGCGGCGUGCCUAAUACAUGCAAGUCGAACGCAUAGCGAAAGGUGCUUGCACCUUUCAAGUGAGUGGCGAACGGGUGAGUAACACGUGGACAACCUGCCUCAAGGCUGGGGAUAACAUUUGGAAACAGAUGCUAAUACCGAAUAAAACUUAGUGUCGCAUGACACAAAGUUAAAAGGCGCUUCGGCGUCACCUAGAGAUGGAUCCGCGGUGCAUUAGUUAGUUGGUGGGGUAAAGGCCUACCAGGACAAUGAUGCAUAGCCGAGUUGAGAGACUGAUCGGCCACAUUGGGACUGAGACACGGCCCAAACUCCUACGGGAGGCUGCAGUAGGGAAUCUUCCACAAUGGGCGAAAGCCUGAUGGAGCAACGCCGCGUGUGUGAUGAAGGCUUUCGGGUCGUAAAGCACUGUUGUAUGGGAAGAACAGCUAGAAUAGGAAAUGAUUUUAGUUUGACGGUACCAUACCAGAAAGGGACGGCUAAAUACGUG